UGAGGAAUAUUGGUCAAUGGACGGAAGUCUGAACCAGCCAAGUAGCGUGCAGGAUGACGGCCCUAUGGGUUGUAAACUGCUUUUGUAUGGGGAUAAAGUUAGGGACGUGUCCCUAUUUGCAGGUACCAUACGAAUAAGGACCGGCUAAUUCCGUGCCAGCAGCCGCGGUAAUACGGAAGGUCCAGGCGUUAUCCGGAUUUAUUGGGUUUAAAGGGAGCGUAGGCUGGAGAUUAAGUGUGUUGUGAAAUGUAGACGCUCAACGUCUGAAUUGCAGCGCAUACUGGUUUCCUUGAGUACGCACAACGUUGGCGGAAUUCGUCGUGUAGCGGUGAAAUGCUUAGAUAUGACGAAGAACUCCGAUUGCGAAGGCAGCUUACGGGAGCACAACUGACGCUGAAGCUCGAAGGUGCGGGUAUCAAACAGGAUUAGAUACCCUGGUAGUCCGCACAGUAAACGAUGGAUGCCCGUUGUUAGUUCACCUAAGAAUUAGCGACCAAGCGAAAGCAUUAAGCAUCCCACCUGGGGAGUACGCCGGCAACGGUG
rnacentral:rRNA from 1 species